GAUGAAGAACGCCGCGAAAUGCGAUAAGUAAUGUGAAUUGCAGAAUUCAGUGAAUCAUCGAGUCUUUGAACGCACAUUGCGCCCCCUGGUAUUCCGGGGGGCAUGCCUGUCCGAGCGUCAUUGCUGCCCUCAAGCACGGCUUGUGUGUUGGGCCCCCGUCCCCGGUUUCCCCCGGGGACGGGCCCGAAAGGCAGCGGCGGCACCGCGUCCGGUCCUCGAGCGUAUGGGGCUUUGUCACCCGCUCUGUAGGCCCGGCCGGCGCCAGCCGACACCCAACUUUAUUUCUAAGGUUGACCUCGGAUCAGGUAGGGAUACCCGCUGAACUUAAGCAUAUCAAUAAGCGGAGGA
rnacentral:misc_RNA from 1 species